AUGUCAAUCACUUUCCUAACGAGUCUGUUUUUGUUUGCAGACAUCACGGCGUCACAGCCCAUAGUCCAGCAGUCCCCGGCCUCCAUCCUGGUAGAGCCGGGACAAGCUGCCCGUCUCCACUGUUACCAUGGCGAUAACAGCUACCCCUACAUGCUCUGGUACCAGUCGGCGGCGGGAGGCGGGCGACGGACCGUGGACCUGAUCGGACUGCUUCACUACGAAAACCAAAGUCCCGAGAAGGGCUUUGAGAGUCGCUUCAACAUGACGGGUCAUUCGAAAGGCAAAGCUCAGCUGAUCGUCUCUGACGCCAAACCUGGAGACACAGCAGAGUAUUUCUGCGCAGCGAGUUAA